rnacentral:rRNA from 1 species
CCUGGUGAAAUUAGCGCUGUGGAACCACCCGAUCCCAUCCCGAACUCGGAAGUGAAACGCAGCUGCGCCGAUGGUAGUGUGGCUCAAGCCAUGCGAGAGUA